UUCGUGCUACAUAUAAUCUUUUACCUCAUAUUCUUUUAUUUAACGCUAUCAUACGAUGGAUGCUAAUGAAUUGUAGAUUCUUUGACCACAAUAUAGAUAUCGGUGAUAAGGCUACUGAGUAAGAAAAAUUGUCAGUUGCUCUUACUAAUUUGAUGCAGCUUGCAGUUUAAAAGAGCUCUUUUACGAAAAGCAACGCACGCGUUAUUUGCC